CUAAGUAAAAAUGUUUCUCUCUACAUAAUACCAGCUGUCCAAAGUCAGCCCGUUGCUGGGAUAUGGCUCCUUGGACAAGCCCUCUACUGCCAUGGGCUAUGUCAGGGACUCACUAGACAAUCUGCACAUGGAUUUUGGUAGCCAGGGUCUCAUUAGCCCCUCGAAAAAUCUGAGCCUCAUCAGAAUUGUUAGAUUGGAGCUGAGAGCUACAAGCUUGUGACAAGUUCCUGCACAGGAGGAAGCCCAAGAAGGACGAAGCGGCCUGCCCACCUUCUUGCUUCACAACUAGCCACUGGACUGGAGUGAGCAUGGGCCACCAGGGGACCAGACAGGGGCAUGCAUCUCGUGCCCCUGAAGUCCCUCCCCUAUCCACAGAACACCAUGUUCGUCAGCAAUUUUUGGAACCUCCAUGUCUACAGAUCAUUGUUCACCCUCCUGCCAGAGCGCUAUUAGAUCCAUCUUUGAAGUCAAGGGAUGGCCCAUGUAUCAUGCAAUUGCUGUUCUACGUUGUUUACAGCUCUUAAUACUUGUGAGGAAUGCUUAAGUCUUAGUGACCAAAUCUAACCUUGAAAGCAGACAUAAUGCAGUAUCCUCUUUGGAAUGUUUCGUGGGGUUCAAAGUGACCAAGAGCCAUGUCCAGUAUCUACCUGGGAGGUGAGAACUGCCCCACAGAGACCUGGAAGGACCAGGUGGACAUUGCAGGGUUUGAUGCUCUGACUCUACUCCACAUCAUAGGACUUGACUUUUUGUUCUUUCUAAAAAUAGAUCAUGGAGCCAAGUGAAGUGCACUUUGUCCAACUUAAAGAUCUGCUUUUUUCCUUGUUAUUUUCUCCUUCUUUUAUAAACCACUUGUUCUUCCUCUUUUUUUCUUCAUUGUGGUUUCUUGUCAAAUGCAGAAAUGUUUCUUCCACCACUCACUGAAGUUGUAAAUUCUGGCUUCUGCAGUUUUUAUUGUCUGUGUCAGACGUACAGCCAGACAUGAUUCUCUGUCAGCAUUUUCCAGAUUCUGUUAAACAAUAUCUGUCUCCCAUUUUCUCUUCCCCCCCCACCCAUUCACUCCUCACACUUUUGGGAAAGAAAAAAAAAAUAACCUUGUGUGUCAUAGCUAGGUGUCUAGAAUAAAUUGCUCUAUUUUAAUAUUUUAAAAAAAGAAACAAGAAAAUUUUGUUUCAGAUUUUAGUUACUAAAAAUGUUUAAUAGCUACUAUCAUUUCUUAUCACAAAGUAAUAGCUGUAGAUAUCUGGGAUAUGACACCUUCCAAAAUCUCUUACACCUGACAAAAUUGUACACAGAUAAAUUUGCUGACCUCUUCUAGAAAUCUAAUUUAUACCACAUACUCUUCAAAGUGUAGACAGUCUCACACAGUUUUACACUAGAAGACAUGUAUAAACCACAGUUUCCUACAUUUGUUCUUUUUGUUGUUGUUCACUUGUUUUACUUAUUAUAGAAACAAUGCAGAACUAUAAUGUGCAUCAUCAAUGACAUUGUUUGCAAAAAAUCAAAUAUGUGCACAGACACCAACUUUAUUCCUUAUUUUCAUGAAACAAAUUUCCCUAUCAAAACUUGGUAAUGACCUAAUGAUCUC
rnacentral:lncRNA from 1 species